ACUUAGGAAAUUGUGAAAACGUUUUGCUUUGUAAGAAAUAUUUGAAAAAUAUGUGAAAAAUGAUAAGAAAAGUGAAAAAAGUUAAACCAAAGGCGAAAAGACACAUCGAGGAUGUUCCUUUCUAUAAGUUUGUGUAUAAGCGUGAUGAGUUGCCGCUGGAUCCAGCCCGGAGUUUUAUAGAGGAGCAAAUUGCAAAAAUCAAUGUGAUCAAACCAGCCUGUUUCAACAAAGACUACAGCUUGCACAGAUAUCCUCGAGGUGAUGGCCAAGGACUGCAGGAACUGCUAUUGCCGGAGAAACUAUCCGUGAUAAAUGCACCCGAAUAUCCCCCAACAACACCGUCCUCAUCUUCUCCACCAGAUAAACGCACUGUGGAUGUGACAGCCCAGCUUAUCAGAUUCUACAAAAAUAUUCGUUUGAAGAUUUUUCACGAUCUGACACUUACCAAGCCGGUCCUGUUAGGAAACGAGUUCUUUCGACGCUACGGACGAGUAAGCCAAGAUGGCCGCCAAAGGCUGCCUGCAAUACGUCGCAAAAAGCGCCCAAAAAAGUUUCACUUCGAUGAGUUUGCUUACCGCACGCCAGAGGAAAACGACGAAGCACUACUGCGAAUUCAGCGCCAUUUGGAUCGGAUGAUUGCGAAGAGCAUUCAGGAGGCGGAAAAGCGUCGGCAGCAAAAAGAGGAACAGGCACGCAAGCCGCAAUUUUGCACAUCCUCGUCUUCAUCAUCAUCAACUUCAUCAAAGAGCAAAACCGUUUACCCAGCGAAGGUUAAGAGAAAGCGGUUAAGUAAUGAGCAGUACAUCAAAAAGCUGAAGUUAGAUGAAAGUUUAAAAUUAAAAUAUUUGCAAGCGUUGCUGCCGGUCCAUCCCGACGAACAAAAACUCAAAAUACUCGAAAAAUACGAAAAACGCUACGCAGAAGCCAUUGCAAUCUUCGACGAUGACAUGCGUCAACGAACGCUGAAUGUCCUAGACGAAAUUUCGGUCGAAAAAAUUGAUCACUACCCGUCACAUUUGAUCAAGAAAAUUCUCCCAAGAAUCGACAAUAGAAUAGCGUACCUGAAGCAAGCGUACAAAUUCAUUCUGCAAGAGGAGAAACUGUGGCCCAACAUAAAUCCGGAGGUGAUUCUUCUGGAUUAUCUUUUCGAUCCAGAGCAUAAUGUACACCGAGACCAAGCGGUGUAUUUGGUCAUAUUGCUAAUGGAUCUGCAGGAAGAUUACCGCUACCACGUGAAACGUUCCUUCCUACGCUAUAUUUUGCGCUCAGAGGACGAACGUAAGCGUCUACAGUUGGCAAUAGAGCCUCCUGAGUUUCCUAUCGCAACCAUGAUCGCUCCAGUUCCGUGGAAAUGCUCCAUCCAAGUUGCUAAAAAUCGACUCGAGGAGGUACUGAUGGUCAAUCACCCGGUGCUACAAGCAAUCAAUAUGCUCUGGCACAAACUGUACGGCAACCUGCUGGUGGUUGAUGUGGCCAAAUUCUACAGCACAGAUAUCCCAAUGCAUGCCGACAAAAUAACCGAGACGAUACACAAUAGCUGUAGGAUCACGAGAGAUAUCCUCGUGAACGAUUGGAUGCCUCGCGUGGCUGAUUUGGUAGACGUGAUGCGCAAAUACUGGAAAGAUUUGGUUCCUCGUAACUCUAUUCACGGGGGUCGAGGAACCACCUUCUUCAACUGCAUUCACUCGCUCACCUCCUACCACCUACAAGGAAUGAUAAAGAAGAGCUUGGACCACCUGGUUGACGCCCUGGAGGUGUACCGCGAAGGUGACGCUGGAGGUAGCAACCAGUCGUCUAAGCUCAGAAUGAAGCCUUUUAUGACACUCACGGUGUCCGUUGUGGGCAAGCCCGACACAGAGAUCGAGAAGAACACCGAGAAAAGUGACAUGUCGCUAUACGAAGCGGACGAUGAUGAUCCGAGUCUACUGACUUCGGAAUCUACGGAUACUAUCAUGACAACGAAAGCAGAAGAAAGAAGAACCUCGUUCAUAAUGAAUAGCAGCGGAAAGAUUAUCAUAUACCCAUACAUGGAAGAACUCCCAGAUUUGUUCAAAAGCUACUUCGUAAAGAUUCUUAAAGUAGGGUAUAAAAUUCCUCGAUUAGAAUACUACCUGACACAGGACAAAAAGCUGCUGGGUUAUUUACACUACAUACGAGAGGACAACGUGGACAUGGUAAGUCUUUACGAGAGAGUGAAGAAUAUCGUCGUUGCCAACCAAACAGGUCCAACUAUAUACCUGUAUCCAAUGUAUGAGUAUUAUUUUCCGGUGCUUGCAAAUAAAAUGAAAGUUAUCACAGAGAGCAUUUUUUCGCAACGAGAGCUCCCUUCGCUCGAAAUCUUCAAAGAUCUAGUGGACAAGUUUAAAGAGCUACUACAUGGAAUAUAUUUUCUGCGAGAUUUUAUUCCACUCAAUCUGUUCAUGUUGGAUAAUAGCCGUCUCAAUCGGGUUCUUGAAAAUCUUGUGAAAGAACUGCAAGCCUUCGUAAUCAAUUAUUUCAUCACUCUAAAUCAAGUUGAAAAUCGAAGGAUCUGUGAUGAAUACGAAGACAUGUCCCUGCAUGCAGGCGAACGUCCGAAAGAGAUUCCGGAAGUGGUCGCGCUUCAAAAUUAUCUAACGCAGUGUCGCGAAGAACGAAUGUACCAGCUUAAGAUCGAGAUCAAGCAGGUCGCGCAACGUGUUCUCUUCCUCCUGACCUAUGCCAUUCUCGAUCGUAAUAUGCGAAAUCCACAAUUGGUACUAGAGCGAUACACCCUACUGAUGUUGGGUUUUAUUUUUCCAGCCGAAGAUAUCAAUUUGAAUUCGCGUCUGUUUCUGUGGCCCCAGGAGCUGGAGAAGGUGCUUGAUCUCAGCGGUGCCCGUCUUUCGGUGGUACGUGACAAUCUGGAAACGGCACUACGUGAGCGACGAACCAAAUUCGAACAAUAUUUGAUCACUGAGAAGAAAAAAAUGGACCACUUCCGGACACGUGAGAUACGCGAAAUGCUCUCGCUAGACGAUCUCAAAGAGAAAGUUGAAACGAUCGAUGGUUUGAUGUUGAUCUUGGAGAAAUGUAGCAGAGAAGCGAAAGAAAUCAACAUAGACGAGAACCUGCUGCAGAUCGAUUUGUCGUUUUUCCCAGCCUUGAACGAAAUGAUCGAUAGGAUGGUGCCAAUCGAAAAACUUUGGCAUACUGCGUAUAAAUUCGACUCCUGUCAUGAAGUUUGGUACUUUGGUCCAUUCAGCGAACUGGAUGCAACUGUUAUUAGUAGUGCAGUUGAGGAAAUGUUCAACUCUAUAACCGUUCUGCUGAAAGAGCUUGCAGGUAGUCCACAGGCAAAACGUGUUGCCGAGCAGAUUCGUAUGAAGAUCGACAAAUUCAAGGUCUACUUACCGAUUCUGGAGGCUAUUUGCAGGCAAGGUCUCUGCGAACGGCACUGGGCUCAGAUAGCCGAAGAACUCGGCCAGGAAGUAAAUCCUGAAGUGAAAAACUCACUUGGGCUAAUGGUUGAUAUAGAUAUCAUGAAGAUACAAAAUAGACUUGAAGAAAUUUCCAACGCAGCGGGCAAGGAACACGAAUUGAACAUACAGCUCAUCAAUAUGCAGGAGGAGUGGAUCGAUGUGAAAUUCAUCUGCGUUCCGUAUCGUGACUCGGACAUGUCCAUUUUAUCAUCAGUCGACGAUAUCCAAACCCUGCUGGAUGACCACAUCCUUAAAGCUCAAGCCAUGCGAGGCUCACCAUACAUAGCUGCUCUUGGUAGUAAGGCAACCAACUGGGAGGAAAAACUCAUAUCUAUGCAGGACAUUAUUGACACAUGGUUGCAGGUUCAAGCUACCUGGAUGUACCUGGAGCCUAUAUUUAGUUCUGAAGAUAUUAUGCGCCAGAUGCCAACAGAAGGUCGCCAUUUCAAAACCGUCGACAAGUUGUUCCGUAAAAUUAUGCGAAACACACUUUCCGAUCCACACGUGAUUCAGGCGACCGAUUUCCCUGAUCUUUUGAACGUUUUGAGGCAAGCUUUCAAGGACCUGGAAGAUAUUCAACGUGGAUUGAAUCUGUAUCUGGAGAAGAAGCGAUUGUUCUUCGCGCGGUUCUUCUUCCUCUCUAAUGACGAACUACUGGAGAUUCUAUCGGAAACAAAGGACCCAAUGCGAGUGCAACCUCACAUGAAAAAAUGUUUCGAGGGCAUUUACUCCCUGCAAUUUGAUUCACAGAUGGAAAUCACAGCAUUCACUUCGGCAGAGGAGGAACAAAUUCCCUGUACAAGAAAGAUCAAUCCCGCUUCAGCAAAUGGGUUGGUGGAAAAAUGGCUCAAAGAAGUGGAAGUAGUUAUGUUAGAAAGUGUGAAAGAGCAGAUUUGGCAGUCGUACGAAUGUUAUCUAAAAGAUCCGAGAAAAAUGUGGGUAUUGCACUGGCCCGGACAAGUAGUGCAGGUUGUUUCGUGUCUCAAGUGGACAGAGGAAGCCGAAAUAGCCAUAGUCGAAAACAAGUUGGUGGAGUACGGCCAGCAAUGCACAGCACAAAUUGGAGACCUGGUGGAUCUGGUCAGAGGAGAUCUCAGUAGUGGAGCGACAAUCACGAUAGAGGCUUUGAUUGUCGUAGAUGUUCAUGCUCGCGACAUAAUCGAUCUGCUCAUUAAGAAGAACAUCUCUGACAUCGGAGAUUUCAACUGGUUUUCUCAGUUACGAUAUUACUGGAAGAUUGAUGACGAUGAUAAGCAGAGCUACGUAGCAUGUAGUAUGGUGACAACUGAUCUAAAAUACGGAAUGGAGUACUUGGGCAACACUGGAAGGUUGGUAACGACCCCAUUGACGGAUCGUUGCUUCAGGACACUUAUGGGGGCAUUUAAACUCAAUCUUGGUGGAGCUCCAGAAGGUCCAGCUGGAACUGGUAAAACAGAAACUUGUAAAGAUCUCGCUAAAGCAGUAGCCAAGAAAUGUGUGGUAUUCAACUGUUCGGAUGGAUUAGACUACAAGGCUCUCGGGAAGUUCUUCAAAGGAUUAGCUCAGUCUGGUUCGUGGGCUUGUUUCGAUGAAUUCAAUAGAAUUGAACUGGAGGUGUUGUCCGUCGUGGCUCAACAAAUUUUAACGAUUCAACGCGCAAUUGCCGGAAAGUUCGUAAAAUUCGUCUUUGAAGAUACACCGCUCAAACUCGAUCCAACUUGUAACAUAUUCAUCACCAUGAACCCGGGGUAUGCGGGACGUACAGAAUUGCCCGAUAAUCUAAAAGUUCUAUUCAGAACUGUUGCAAUGAUGGUUCCCGAUUAUGCAAUGAUUGGUGAAAUAACACUCUACUCCAACGGGUUUGAUGACGCCAGAAUUCUGGCACAGAAAAUUGUACACACGUAUAAAUUGUGCUCGGAGCAGCUCUCAUCCCAAUCGCACUACGAUUAUGGAAUGAGAGCUGUAAAGUCAGUGCUAACGGCUGCUGGAGCAUUGCGUCGUGCGCAGCCAGAACUAACCGAAGCUCAGAUCGUUCUGCGAGCAAUUAUAGAUGUGAAUCUUCCCAAGUUUCUCCAACAGGAUAUCCCGUUAUUCGAAGGAAUCUACAACGACUUGUUCCCUGGAGUACCGCUUCCGAAUCCUGCUCGAGAAGAUAUUGUGAGAUUACUCUUGAUAGAGCUGAUCAAACGUAAACUUCAACCAACACCAUGGUUCAUCGAGAAAAUCAUGCAAAUCUAUGAGAUGCUUCUAGUUCGACAUGGUCUCAUGAUCGUAGGCCAGUCAAUGGGCGGUAAAACAACUGCAUACCAAGUGCUUGCAGAAACUCUGCGAGAGUUACGCAAGGAGAAAGGCCAGUCAUCCGAAGAGCAAGGAGUUUCCUACAGGAUAAUCAACCCUAAAUCGAUAUCAAUGGGGCAACUCUACGGUAGUUUCGAUCCUGCGUCACACGAAUGGUCCGAUGGUGUACUGGCCAAUACCUUCCGAGAAAUGGUAAACACCAACAGCUUAGAGCGACAGUGGAUUAUUUUCGACGGACCGGUCGAUGCGGUUUGGAUCGAGAACUUAAACACUGUUCUGGAUGAUAACCGCAAGCUUUGUUUGAUGUCCGGAGAGAUUAUUCAAAUGACAAAAGUUAUGAACUUGAUGUUCGAACCAGCGGAUCUCGAACAGGCAUCUCCAGCAACGGUCUCGCGAUGCGGAAUGAUCUACAUGGAACCUUCCCAACUCGGAUGGAUUGCUCUACACAAAUCCUUCUUGUUAUAUCUGGAAGAGAAAGGCGUCAACGAGAUUAACAUAGGUGUAUUUGAGCAACUGGCAGAGUGGCUCAUCCCACCGACGCUCAAUUGGUUGAGAUCAGUUAAAACUGUUCUGAAACUGUCUGAGAUGCAUCAAUAUGCGAUGUUCUCAAAGUUCUUCUCGAUAUUUCUCUCUCGCACAAACAACUACAACCAAAUAUGGUUCCAGCAGACAUUUUUGUUUUGCUACGCGUGGGCUUAUUUUUCUGCAGUAACAGUGGAGGGAAGACAAACGAUCGAUCCAUUGCUCAGAAAAGUUCUGUACGGUGCCAACGAGGAUCAUCCCAAACCAAAACACUUCUCUCUUAACCGAGGACAAAUGUACCCGGAAAAAAUGAACUUCCUCGAUUACCGUUUCGACGAACAGGAAACCUGGUGGCCUUGGUUGAAAUCGGAAGAGUUGUCUCUUCCCGAAAGUUGCAUAAUCUCCGAACUGAUGAUUCCAACCAAGGAAACGGGAUACAUUAUGUAUUGGACACAGAUGUGUAUUUCCGUUGGUAUGCCCAUUCUUUUAGUUGGUCCAACGGGUACCGGCAAAAGCGCAACUAUUGCGAACUAUAUCCGCGAGUUGCCAAAGGCAAAGUUCAUCUCCAAUAUAAUCAAUUGCUCAGCACGCAGUACGGCACAGCAGAUGCAGGAAACUAUUAUGUCCAAGCUGGAUAGGCGUAGAAAGGGUGUAUUCGGGCCACCCGUGGGAAAGGAAUGUGUUAACUUCAUAGAUGACGUAGCAAUGCCGGCACGAGAUGAAUACGGAUCACAGCCACCGUUAGAGCUUAUUCGGCAAUGGUUAGACCACAGAAUUUGGUCCGAUCUGAAAGAUACAUCCAAGAUUGAACUGAUCGAUUUGUUGUUCGUAGGAGCCAUGGGCUUACCCGGUGGCAGUAACUACAUACCGCAACGUCUGUACCGGCACAACUUUGUAGUGUCGGUAGAUUCAUUUGAAGACAACACAUUACUCAGAAUAUUCUCAUUAAUUGGAGAGUGGCACUUCGCCAAAGGCUAUCCGGAGCCAAUCUCACGUUUAUGUAAAAAUUUGGCCCAAGCUGUCAUCUCAGUUUAUAGGGGAGCUAUCGCAAAUUUCCUACCGACACCGGCGAAGUCGCACUAUCUGUUUUCGUUGAGGGAUGUCACCAGGGUCUACCAAGGAAUAGUAUUGGUUCCGGCCAAAAGACUACCUGAUCCAGAGAAACUGGUUCGCUUGUGGGCACACGAGACAUAUCGUGUCUUCUACGAUCGUUUGAUUGAUGAAAAAGACAAACAAAUUCUUUUACGCAUGGUCGAUGAAGCAGCCAACAGUCAACUACGGAUGAAACUAGAAGUGGCCUUCAGCGAUCGCCUGGAAGGCGGCCAGCGGGUGAACGACAAGCAUAUGCGUGAUUUGUUAUACGGAAAUUACAUGGAACCCGAUGCUGUAAGUCGAGUAUACGACGAGGUUGACAGUUGGGCAAAAUUGGAAAAAAAUAUUAACUACUAUUUGAGUGAAUACAACGCACAUUCCAAGGCCCCAAUGAACCUUGUUUUGUUUAGAUUCGCAAUAGAGCACAUAUCGAGAAUUGCGCGAGUUUUGCAAAUGCCGCGUGGCCACUUGCUACUUGUUGGUCUCGGUGGAGCCGGUCGACGAAGCGCUGUCAAACUUGCAGCGAGUAUGGCAGAUGCCGAUGUAUUCCAGGUGGAGGUAACUCGGAGUUAUUCGAUGAACGAGUGGCGUGAGGACAUCAAGAAAAUAUUGAUGAAUGCCGGCAAUGAAGGCAAAUCAACGAUUUUCUUGUUCAACGAUUCCCAAGCCAAAGAUGAGGCUUUUGUGGAGGAUAUCAACUCGUUGUUGAACACUGCUGAUAUCCCUAAUCUUUUUCAAUCUGAGGAGAAAGCAGUUAUAUUAGAACAAAUGCAAACCAUCGUGAGGCAAACAAACAAGCCUAUCGAUUCAACCGCUCUUUCACUUUACAAUUUCUUCGUCGAGAGAGUACGUGAAAAUUUACACAUAGCCCUGGCCUUCUCCCCCAUUGGAGAUUCUUUUAAAAAAAGAGUUCGCAUAUACCCAUCUUUAAUUAAUUGCUGCACAAUUGAUUGGUUCACAGCUUGGCCUGAUGAUGCUUUGCAGAAAGUAGCAGAAAACUUCAUCAGGUCAAUGGAUUUAGAAAAGGAUGGUACACAAUCGAGUGAUCCGUCAAUAAUAUCUCUGAAAAAGGAAGAAGAGGAACAAGAGAAGCAAAAAACAAGAAAACUGACUCGCCUCGAAAAGAGGCUUGUGGAACUUGUAAUGAUUUUCAAUCGUGGAGUGGUUGAAAAUUCCUCGAGAUUUUUCCUGGAGCAAGGAAGAAUCAACUACGUCACACCCACGUCAUAUUUGGAAAUGCUCCGAUCUUUCAACGGGUUGUACCGCAAGAAGUACUCGGAAAUAAUUUCCCAGCGAGAUCGAUACACGGUAGGCCUCGAGAAGCUGGACUUUGCCGCCGGCCAGGUGUCGGUAAUGCAGGAUCAACUAAAAGAUUUGCAGCCACAGCUGAAACAAACCUCGGAUGAAACCGAAAAAAUUAUGGUUAACAUCGAACGGGAAACUGCCGACGCCGAAAAGAAGAAAGAAAUCGUAGGGGCCGAUGAGACGGCCGCCAACGAGGCGGCUGCUUCCGCCCAAGCCAUUAAGGACGAUUGCGAAAGUGAUCUACAGGAAGCGGUUCCAGCACUCGAAGCCGCACUCAUGGCCUUGGAUACGCUGAAACCGGCUGACAUCACGGUGGUCAAGUCGAUGAAGAAUCCACCGUCUGGAGUGAAACUUGUGCUGGAAGCGGUUUGUGUGAUCAAAGGCAUCAAGCCCGAUCGCAAGACCGAUCCGUCUGGCAAAGUCCUAGAAGACUAUUGGGGACCUUCGCAAAAAAUGUUGGGCGAUUUGAAAUUCUUGGACAGUUUGAAAACGUUUGAUAAGGAUAAUAUUCCCAUAUCAGUUAUGAAGAAAAUUCGCGAUGUGUACAUAGCGGAUCGCGAGUUCGUCCCGGAGAAGAUUAAAAACAUCUCGAUGGCCUGUGAGGGACUCUGUCGAUGGGUACGCGCAAUGGAAAUCUACGACCGUGUGGCGAAAAUAGUCGCCCCCAAGAAGGUCGCCCUGGCCGGGGCCGAAGCGGAGCUCGCGAUGCAGAUGGAGAAGCUUAACGCCAAACGGGCCGAACUGCAGGAGAUUCUGGACAAAUUACAGAAGCUGAACGACUUCUUCGCCGAAAAGUCCCGAGAGAAAAAGCGAUUGGAGGACGAAAUCGACAGCUGCGAGAAAAAGUUGAUCCGUGCGGAGCAGCUAAUCGGUGGUCUGGGAGGUGAGAAGAGACGCUGGUCGGAAUGUGCGGAAAAUUUACAUAAAUCUUUGGAAAAUGUGAUCGGAGACGUGCUGCUGGCAGCGGGAUGCAUCGCCUAUUUGGGAUGCUUCUCGAUGGAAUUCAGGAGCAGAAUCAUCGGCGAGUGGAACGAAAUCACUCUGCGAAAGGAAAUCCCGUGUUCAGAAAAGUUUUCACUUCUAACAACUCUCGGAAAUGCCAUGGAAAUCAGAAAUUGGUCCAAUUGUGGACUACCGACGGAUAACUUCUCCAUCGAGAAUGGCAUUGUUGUGAAGCAUGCGCGACGUUGGCCAUUAAUGAUUGAUCCCGAGGGACAAGCGAAUAAAUGGGUAAAGAACAUGGAGAAAGAUAAUAGUUUAAAAAUAAUCCAACAAAUGGAUCCCAACUACAUGAGAGUAGUGGAAAACGCUCUCAUAAACGGGUAUCCUGUGCUUCUAGAAAACGUUGGUGAAACGAUAGAUUCUGGACUGAAUUCAAUCUUGGAGAAAAAUGUGUUCCGCUUAAGGGGCGCCAAUCUGAUCAAAUUCGGUGAUGGAUUGAUAGAAUAUAACGACAAUUUCCGCUUCUAUGUCACAACAAACCUAAGAAAUCCGCACUACUUGCCUGAAACAGCCGUCAUGGUCACCCUGAUGAAUUUCAUGAUUACCGAACAGGGAUUACGCUCGCAACUUCUGGGUACCGUUAUUAUCCAAGAGCGUCCUGAUCUUCAAGAAAAGAAAGAAAAUCUUAUCAUCGAAUCCGCUCAGAACCAGGAAGCUUUGUACAAUGCUGAAGCAAAGAUUUUGCAGGUCCUUUCUUCGUCCGAAGGAAACAUUCUAGAUGACGAGAAUGCGAUCAACAUUCUGACCUCCAGCAAACAGCUUUCCGAAGAAAUUCAAGCCAAACAGUUGAUUGCUGUAGCGACUGAAGCGGAGAUCGAUGCAGCCAGACAACUGUACAUCCCUGUCGCACGCCAUUCAGCGGUUCUCUUCUUCUGCACCACCGAGCUAGCUAAUAUCGACCCGAUGUAUCAGUUCAACCUAACCUGGUUUUUAAACAUUUUUGUACAAACCAUAAUCAAAACACCCAAAUCGGACAGCUUGGACGAACGCCUACAACUGCUGAUCGAUUAUUUUACCCAAGCAAUCUACAACAACGUUUGUCGAUCACUGUUUGAGAAAGACAAACUGAUGUUUUCCUUCGUUCUUUGCUCGGGAAUAUUACGCGGAGAGGGCAAAAUUGAUGAUCAAAUGCUAUCAUUUCUGUUGACUGGAGGCUUAGCACUCGAUAACCCUUAUCAAAACCCUGCACCAGAGUGGCUCCCUGAGAAAUCGUGGACCGAUAUAGUUCGCGCAAGUUCGAUCAAAUCGUUGGAAAAAUUGCGACAAUCGUUCGCUGGAAAUUUAAAUGCAUGGAGGGCAUACUAUAAUUUAAGCGCCCCGGAAGAAGAAAAACUACCUGAGCCGUACAGUGAGUGUGAAGAUUUAGCGAAGCUGAUUUUAUUGAGGUGUCUACGGCCGGAUAAGGUAGUGCCAGCGUUGCAAAAAUUCAUCGUAGAAAGGAUUGGUCAAUCCUACAUCGACCCUCCUCAGUUUGACCUGAAAACUUCUUACCAGGAUAGUUCGCCACGAUCUCCGCUCAUUUUCAUGUUGUCUCCUGGAUCCGACCCAAUGGACGGUUUGUUAUCGUUUGCAAAUGAAAAAUACAUGGGUGAUGACUGUCGUGUGAUAUCAUUAGGCCAAGGUCAAGGACCAAGGGCCACCAAAACUAUCUUAGAUGCCAUCAAACUUGGCCAUUGGGUUAUUUUGCAAAACUGCCACGUAGCAGAGUCCUAUAUGGACGAGCUGGAGAAGCUGGUAAUGGAUUCAAGCUUGUACGAAAAUGUACAUCCUAAAUACCGCCUCUGGUGCACUUCAUACCCAAGCAAAAAAUUCCCAGUAACAAUUCUCCAAAAUAGUGUCAAAAUGACAAACGAGGCACCAAAGGGGUUGAAAAUGAACAUGUCGAGAGCAUAUAAUUCUGAUCCACUCUCCAACAAAGCCUUCCUGGACGAAGCUUUCCACGAAGAUACCACACGGGUAUGGAUAAGAGGUGUGUUCGCCCUCGUAUUUUUCCACGCGGUCGUUCAAGAACGCUGUAAGUUUGGUCCGCUCGGCUGGAACAUACCGUACGAGUUUAAUGAGUCUGAUCUGAAGAUUUCGCUGAUGCAGCUGAAGCAGUUCCUACAUCAAUACUCGUACAUCCCGUUCGAAGGGCACAUCUAUCUGACCGGUGAGUGUAACUACGGUGGACGAGUAACAGAUGAUAAAGAUCGUCGACUUUUGAUGGCGUUGCUUAACCGGAUUUACAACGAAAAUACCAUUGACGUCGAAGAGUUCCAGCUCUCCGAGUCCGGUAUCUACAAAGUACCAAUCAAUCCAGUUAAGCACGAAGCUCUCGAGUACCUAUCGACAUUGCCAUUGACUGCCCAUCCUGAGGUAUUUGGGCUUCAUGCAAACGCUGAUAUAACUAGGAAUAUAGAAGAAACUAAUUCACUACUGGACAAGGUAUUGCAGACCCAAACGCAAUUGUUCGGCGGAAAAUCGACAGGAAGCCAGGAAGAACAGAAGACCGAUCCAGUGUUGGUAAUAGCCACUGAAAUAAUGAAAAAAUUGCCCGAUGCAUUCAAUAUUGAAGCUACCGAAGAGAAGUUUCCGAUUCAGUACACCAACUCGAUGAAUACUGUACUGCGACAGGAGCUGACACGCUUCAAUCGCUUACUCGCCUACAUCAAGGCUAGCCUAGUAGACGUUCAGCGGGCUAUUCAAGGCCAGAUCAGUAUGAUACCUGAGCUUGAGCGAAUUUACCGCUCGAUGAACAUUGGUAAAGUUCCACAAGCCUGGCUUUCGAAAAGUUAUCCUUCACUUAAACCUUUGGGUAGCUAUGUUAAUGACUUCGUGCAGCGACUUGCAUUCUUCCAGCGCUGGAUAGACGAUGGUGAACCGAAAGUGUACUGGAUCAGUGGAUUCUAUUUCACUCAGUCAUUUCUGACAGGAGUCAUGCAAAAUCACUCGCGGAAGAACAAACUGCGUAUUGACGAUUUGGUUAUGGCAUUCGAAGUGACCGAAUUCGACAUGGACGAAAAAGUGCAGAAAAGAGGAGAAAUUGGUACUUUCAUAAGGGAACGCCGAGCUAAAAACGAGGAUUUCGUAACAUUUGACGGACUGUACCUGGAGGGUGCUCGGUGGAACCAUGAAAUCAGAUGCCUCGAUGAAUCAUUGCCACGAGUGCUGUAUGAUACCCUUCCGAUUAUAUCGAUGACCCCAACACCCAAAGAAAGCAAAUCAACAUCAGACCGCGGCUGUUAUGAAUGCCCCGUUUACAAGACGAGCGAACGGCGCGGUAUUCUGUCGACAACCGGUCAUUCGACGAACUUUGUGAUGUUUUUGGAUCUCACUAGUGACUCACCACCGGAGCAUUGGGUUCUUCGAGGAGCUGCUUGUUUGUGUCAAUUGGAUGAUUAAUUGAAAAUUUCUCAACAAAAUAUUUUUAUACCGUAUUUUAUAGAAUGAUUACUGAGUGUUUUACCGUGUUCUGCGAAAGACUGUUACAAUGCGCUCCGGCACCCGCUAGUGGCAGCGCGUGAAAAGUAUUUGUGCGACGUUCGGAGAAGCAGGUGUCGAACAUUUAAUACAGUUGUUUCUGAAGUGAUUAAUCGAAAACCA